AAACCAGCACCUCAAGUGGUCAGGAUGAUUAUUGGGCCUAAAGCAUCCGUAGCCUGCUUUGUCAGUUUUCGGUUAAAUCCAUACGCUCAACGUAUGGGCUGCCGGAAAUACUGCAAAGCUAGGGAGUGGGAGAGGUAGACGGUACUCGGGAGGAAGGGGUAAAAUCCUUUGAUCUCUCGAUGACCACCUGUGGCGAAGGCGGUCUACCAGAACACGUCCGACGGUGAGGGAUGAAAGCUGGGGGAGCAAACCGGAUUAGAAACCCCAGUAGUCC
rnacentral:rRNA from 1 species